ensembl:snRNA U6 U6 spliceosomal RNA
GUGUUCUCUUUGGCAGUGCCAUUACUAAAAUUGGAACUAUACAGAGAAGAUUCUCAUGGCCCCUGCAAAGGUGACAUGCAAAUUCAUUGCAACUUCCAUAUUUUU